AAUGAACGCUGGCGGCGUGCCUAACACAUGCAAGUCGGACGAGAACGGAGGGCUUCGGCUCUCUUAGUAAAGUGGCGCACGGGUGAGUAACGCGUGGGUAACCUACCCUGACGUUCGGAAUAACGUUGCGAAAGCAGCGCUAAUACCGGAUAAGACCACGAAGCCUUCGGGCUUAGGGGUAAAAGGUGGCGAUUCUUCGGAAGCUACCGCAUCUGGAUGGGCCCGCGUGACAUUAGCUAGUUGGUGGGGUAAUGGCCUACCAAGGCUGCGAUGUCUAGCUGGUCUGAGAGGAUGAUCAGCCACACUGGGACUGGGACACGGCCCAGACUCCUACGGGAGGCAGCAGUGAGGAAUUUUGCGCAAUGGGGGAAACCCUGACGCAGCAACGCCGCGUGAGUGAAGAAGGCCUUUUGGUUGUAAAGCUCUGUCGAUCGGAAAGAAGUCACAGAUGGCUAAUAUCUAUUUGUGUUGACGGUACCGAUAAAGGAAGCCCCGGCUAACUCCGUGCCAGCAGCCGCGGUAA
rnacentral:rRNA from 1 species